UACAGAGGUCCCGAGCGUUGUUCGGAUUCAUUGGGCGUAAAGGGUGCGUAGGCGGCCUGACAAGUCUGAUGUGAAAUCCCUGGGCUCAACCCAGGGCCUGCAUCGGAAACUGUCGGGCUUGAGUAUGGGAGAGGUGAGUGGAAUUUCCGGUGUAGCGGUGAAAUGCGUAGAUAUCGGAAGGAACACCUGUGGCGAAAGCGGCUCACUGGACCAUUACUGACGCUGAGGCACGAAAGCUAGGGGAGCAAACAGG
rnacentral:rRNA from 1 species